CCUUACCAUUAAAGCCUGACAUUCAAUAUUGACCAGCUUCAUACGGGAUGCGGCCCACGGAAGUCCUCGCUGCGUUUCUGGCAAUUAUUUUUGUCUACAGCGAUGCCGUGGAAAAGAGACACAAAAGAGCCAGGAAUGCUACUCGACUCCUCUCUGUGACUGGCAUGCCAAAGUUCGUGCUGUCGCAGAAAACAAAAGGAGCAAAUUUCCUUGGGUACACCGCCAGCGUGAAGUGCUUGACCAUAGAAUUGCUUGGAGGGAGCAGUGAAUAUACUGCAUUUCUCGACUACUUCACUGGCAACGAAUGGUUUACAGAUGUGCUUUAUGCAACGACGUCUCGCUCCGUAAUCAGCUUCACAGCCAUAGAUGCUGACAAUGGUACACGCUUCGUUCCAACAUCGUCAGUUUACCACCUUAUCCAUACUGAUUACACUACCUGUUUCAUUGUGAUGUGGAGGCAAUCAAACAGAAAAGGUAAGCCGCAAGCCCUU
rnacentral:lncRNA from 1 species